AUCCGAAAAUGUUAGUUGGUUAGUGCAUCCCGAUUGAAAAUCGGGAGUGGUCACUGGUUCAAGUCCAGUUUCGG
rnacentral:tRNA from 1 species